rnacentral:rRNA from 1 species
CGAACGCUGGCGGCAGGCCUAAUACAUGCAAGUCGAACGGCUCUUCGGAGCAGUGGCGGACGGGUGAGUAACGCGUGGGAAUGUGCCCUUUGGUACGGAACAACACAGGGAAACUUGUGCUAAUACCGUAUGUGACCUUCGGGGGAAAGAUUUAUCGCCAUUGGAGCAGCCCGCGUUGGAUUAGGUAGUUGGUGAGGUAAAGGCUAACCAAGCCUACGAUCCAUAGCUGGUCUGAGAGGAUGAUCAGCCACACUGGGACUGAGACACGGCCCAGACUCCUACGGGAGGCAGCAGUAGGGAAUCUUGCGCAAUGGGCGAAAGCCUGACGCAGCCAUGCCGCGUGAAUGAUGAAGGUCUUAGGAUUGUAAAAUUCUUUCACCGGGGAAGAUAAUGACGGUACCCGGAGAAGAAGCCCCGGCUAACUUCGUGCCAGCAGCCGCCGUAAGAC